rnacentral:rRNA from 1 species
UAGGGAAUCUUCCGCAAUGGACGAAAGUCUGACGGAGCAACGCCGCGUGAGUGAUGAAGGCUUUCGGGUCGUAAAACUCUGUUGUUAGGGAAGAACAAGUGCUAGUUGAAUAAGCUGGCACCUUGACGGUACCUAACCAGAAAGCCACGGCUAACUACGUGCCAGCAGCCGCGGUAAUACGUAGGUGGCAAGCGUUAUCCGGAAUUAUUGGGCGUAAAGCGCGCGCAAGGUGGUUUCUUAAGUCUGAUGUGAAAGCCCACGGCUCAACCGUGGAGGGUCAUUGGAAACUGGGAGACUUGAGUGCAGAAGAGGAAAGUGGAAUUCCGAUGUGUAGCGGUGAAAUGCGUAGAGAUAUGGAGGAACACCAGUGGCGAAGGCGACUUUCUGGUCUGUAACUGACACUGAGGCGCGAAAGCGUGGGGAGCAAACAGGAUUAGAUACCCUGGUAGUCCACGCCGUAAACGAUGAGUGCUAAGUGUUAGAGGGUUUCCGCCC